CUAUAUACAGUCUAUGGUUUUGUACGGUGGCCCUGAGGUGCAAAACACAAUGGCAAAUAGAAAAAAAAAGCAAAAACAAAAUAGAAAACGCAACGCAAAAAAGAGAAAACACAAUGACAUUAACCAAAAUUGGAAAACAUAGGUAGGUGUUUUCUCUUUUUGUGUUGUGUUUUCUGAUUUGCUGUUGUGUUUUGCACCUCAGGGCCACCAUACACAUGUGCUAGGAUCACCAUAUU
rnacentral:miRNA from 1 species